rnacentral:siRNA from 1 species
CAUUGGUGCAUUGUGAUUUUA